rnacentral:lncRNA from 1 species
GCCUUUGAUGUACUCUCUUAAAUAAUGGACCAGGAACCUUUUUCUAGUUCAUCCUGUUCCAGCUCCUGUAUGAGCUGAAAAAAAAAAUCAGGUGCUCCAUUUCUCCUUUAAAACCAUUUCCUGGCUCUGACUCUUUAUUCUUCACCAUUUCAGACUUUCAUUUUCUCAGGUGUCUUAUCCCCUUCUGAGCAGGACAAAAAUCACCCUAGCAGGGUGCUGGCCAACCCACAAUAGUUACUUACCUCGUUUUUUGCCUUUGUUUUAACUUUCUGAGUUGUUCAUAUAUUUUAGAUAUCAAUCUUUUGUCUUUUAAAGAAUGGGUAAGUACAUCCUCCAAUCCUGUAUGUUGUCUCUUGAUUCUAUUUAUUGUUUACUUCAGUGUGCAGAAGGAUUUUAAUUUGAUGUAAUCCUUUUGCUUUUCUUUCUUGUGCUUUGGAAGCCAUAUCCAAAACCAAAAACCAAAUAAACAAAUAGAAAACAAAACCCAGACAUCCAAGCAAACAACUGUCCCCCUGACAAAAUAGCCUAAACAUUGCUUCUACUAAUGUCUUGAUGAGUUUCUGCUAUGUUUUCUUCUAGUAGUUUCAGUUUCAGGACUUAUAGUUUUAUCUUUGACCCAUUUUGAGUUUAUUUUGUACAGAAUGAGAGAUGGGGAUCAAGUUUACAUCUUCUGCAUGUGAAUAUAUAGUUUUUAUAGAUUAUUAAAAAGUAUAUUAAAGAGAAUGUUCUUUUCCCCAUGUAUGUUGUUAGUACUUUCUUUGAGCAUCAGUUGACCAGAUGUGCAAGAGAAGAAUUUUUGUUAAUUUUUCUAUAAAUGUUUGAUAAAUUUCAGCAUUAGCUCCAUCCAAUCCCAGCAUUUUAUUUCUUGGGAGAAGUUUUAUUAUUGAUUAAAAUUAACAUCUUGUUAUUGGUGUGCUUUUUAUAUCUUCAUACUUCAAUUUUGCUUGGUUUUCUGUCUUCAGAAAUUCAUCCAUUUUCUCUAGGAGUUACCUUUUGUUUCAUAGUUUUUGAAGUACUUUCAAUAGUGUUUUACAUUUCUCUGAUAUUUAGUUGUAAUGUCUUCUUUUUAUAAUUGAUUUCAUUUUGUGUGUGUUCUUUCUUUGUUUAAGCCUAACUAAAUGUUGGUAUAUAAUGUUAUCAUAAAAACUUUGUUUCACUGAUAUUUUGUGUUUUUAAUCUCUAUUUUGCUCAUUUCUUUGGGUUCUUUCUCAUUUCUUUCCUUCUAUUAAUUUUGUUUAGUUUGCUUUUAUGUCACCAGGUUAUUGACAUGCUCCAUUAGGUUAUUUUUUUUUAUUGGUUGUUCAAAACAUUACAAAGCUCUUGACAUAUCAUCUUUCAUACAUUUGAUUCAAGUGGGUUAUGAACUCUCAUUAGGUUAUUUAUUAGAAACAUCAAUAUUUUUUGAUAUGAAAGUUUAUUGCUAUAACGCCCUUAUCAAUAGUGCUUUUUUUGGUGUGCUGGGUUAUUGUUUGUUUCUAUAAAGAGAGAAAGGGUCAGGCUAUUGCCUGUUGGGUUAAAGGAAGAUAGUAGAGAUGCUCAUCUUGUGGUAGGGACUUUCUCAGAACAAAGGAAAAAUAACAAGGCACUAUCAGUAUGAAUGUCCACAUUCCACAAUGUUGUAACACUGUUGCAACACUCUACUGUAGAAAUAGAAUGCACAAUCAGAAUGUGUAUUACCUUGCAUGGGUGAAAAAGAGCUGGCAAGUAAAAGAGGAAGUAACAAGAGAUACAUAAAGGCAACUCCUUCUUUCAGGGAUCAGCCUUUGGAUAUGAAGCCACUAGGCCGAUGCUGGCACUAAUAAACACUGCUUUUUGCUGAAUGACACCCUGUCUCUUGUGUGAGAAUCCCACAACAAUCUCAUGGGGAAUAAAGUGAAUGAGCUAAUGAGCAUCUAAGUUUAUUUUGUCCAAAACAAGAGCGUAUGGUUCUAUCAGAUUCAGAGCCAGAACUUGUUGGUUUAGAAUCGAAAGCUCUGUAAGUGACACAGCAAAUUAUUGCUUUUCUGUGUCCUGGAUAAAGAGUUUAUCUAGAUUUUGGUAGUUGAAAAUUCUAAAGUUCAAAAAACCAAAUCUUUCUGAUCCCCAUUUUGAUCAGUGGAUGCUGCAAUGAUUUAACUCAAUGUUUAUUUUAAAAAAUCAAUGAUUAUGUCCCUCUCCCAGCCUCCCUCGUUUGCUCCUCAUCUCCCUCCUCCUUUUCUCUCUAACACACAUUGGCUUGGAUCUCCUCUCUCCUGCUCCAUUUUCUCUGCUUCCAGGGGCUGGGGUUGCUGUUGGGGGCCCGGCUGGUACUCAGCACUGGAGUGAAAUCACAGGGGAGCUGGUGAGGGACAGAUGGGCAGAGGCUGGGCAGAGGGAAUCAUGGCCUGAGAGUUUGUGUGUGGGGGGAAGUAACCAUGUUGGGGGGGGAAAGUGCAAGGAAGGAGACUCAGUCCCCACCCCAGCUAUGGACUAGAUGUGGAAGUUCUUUGGUGAUGAUUAGUUUACUUUAAUAAAACAUAUAUUUUGUCAGAACUUGAGGAUCUCCUUCUCUGCAGUUUUCACAAGACUGUAUGGUCCUUCUGGUAGGGUGGGCAUUUGUGUUGUACACAUAAGGGUAUAUGUAGAAUAUCCUCUGUGAUUGCUCUUCUAGACUUCAAAACUCUGGAUGUUCCAAAAGGGUGUGGGAGCAAUCUAAGUUGAGGUCCUUUAUGUAUGUGGUGUCCAUGAUUCUUGUGUUAUUUCUGUUGUUGCUUUUAGAGUAAAUGUCCAUUAGUAGGACCUUAGACUCACCCUAGUCUUUUCUACUUGGGGCCUGUCCAUUUUUUAAUUUUUAAAAACUUGUUCUUUUGAAUCCUCAUAAUGUACAAUUAUUUCCUAUUUCUUUUUUUGUUGAAAUUUUGCUGAUAUUUGAGUGGAGUUAAGUUCUAGGUAGAACAAAGUGCACUCUCUCUUAGCUGAUUGGGUAUUAACUCAGCAGUAAAGUAUCAGCUCUGUGAACCUGUAGUGUCACACUAGAUUUCCAGCACCACAGAGAAAAGAAGGAAAUAAGCAAGAGUAACAAAACAAUAUUCAUAUUUUUUAAAAAAAUAAAUGCAUACUAUGCAUCUAUGACACAAAUAACCACAAACACAAACAAGAAUACUGGGAUCAACUAUUAACAACAGCAAUGCGAAAAAACAGUAAUCCAGAUAUAGCAUUAUAGUAAACACCAGAUGUCAAUUAUGGUGUCCAGAGUACUAAUAAGUGCAACAUGUAUGGUGGGGGUGGAGAUUAUACAAUGAAUUUGUUCAAAAGAUUUUAAAAAUAUAAUAAUUAAGAAAAAAGAAAAUGGGUUAUGAAGACAAAAGAAAGUUUUAAAUAUUCAAAAGGUGAAAAGAAAGAAAGCAAUAAACAACAAGUAAGGCCAUAAGGAAGGAAAAAAAUAAAAGAAUAAGGGUAUCUGGUUUCUAGAAAGAUAAAGUGGGAGAAAGAGUAAUAAGAAAAAAAAAUGACCAAAAAAUCCACUAACCCUCAAAAAAUAAAACAGUGCAAAAUAACAAAAUGAUAAUAAAAAAGUCAUAAAAAAUGAAAAAGGGAUAAAAUUGUGGAGAUACACAUACAUGUACAAACUAAGUAGCACAUAAAGCAAAAAAAAUAAGCAAAAAAAUUCUUAAAUCAAAAAUGAAAGAAUUAUUCCAAUGCAGUUAAUUGAAACUAUGGAAGAGGAUGCCAGCUAGCAAUUCUUUUCUUUUUUGUCUAUUCACCCCUUAGAGAGAGCAAGAGCUCUUGUUUUAAUGCAGGAAUAUGAAAUGAUUGGUUUGUGAGAGCAGAAUCCUACUCAGUGCAUCCUAGUUUGAAUGGACUGGGUGGCAACUGUAGGCAGGUGGGGUUGACUGGAGGAGGUGGGUCGUUGGGGGUGACCCCUUCCUCUCUCUUUCUCUCUGAUUACUUGCUACCGUGAGGCAAGCAGCUUCCCUCUGCCAGAACCAUCCCUCCAUGAUUUUCUGCCUGACCUUGAACCCAGAGCAAUGGAGUUGGCUAUCUGGACUGAAACAUCUGAUACUGUGAGGCAAAAUAAACUUUUCCUCUUCUAAGUUGUUGUGUGGUAUUUUGGUCAUAGUAACAGAAAAGCUGACCACACCACUUGGGGUCGUAUGGUAGAUCUAUAAUUUUUUAGAAACCUCCAGACUGUCUUUAUAUUGGCUAUAGUAAUUUACAUUUCUCCUAAUAAUGCAUGAGACUUCCCUUUUCUCCACAUUCUAUCAAAAAUUCAUUUUUAUGGUUUUUGAGCUUCUAUUACUGUUGUUGCUAUUGAUUUAUUUGCUUUUUGUUUUUUUAAUGUUAGUCAUUAUAACUGGAGGGAUUUCACAUCAUAUUAUAGUUUUUAAUUUUUAUUUUCCUGAUGGCUAAUGAUACUGACCAUUUUUUCAUAUGUGUUGGGCAUUUUUGAGAAUUGUCCAUUAGAUAAUUUUUUCAUUCUUCACUUGGACCACUUGUUUUUAGUUUUAUUUUUUUGAGUUUUUUUAUAUAUUUGGGAUAUUAAUCUUUUGUCAAAUGAAUAUAUGGCAAAUAUUUUAUCCCAUCCUAUAUGUUGUCUCUUCAAUUUGUUGAUUGCUCACUUUGAUGUAUAAUAAUUUUAGUUUGAUGUAAUGCAUUUGUGCAUUUUUGCUUCUGUUUCCCAUGCUUUGGGGUCAUAUAUGAAAAAUAUUGCUUCUGUCAGUGUCUUGUGGAAUUUCCCCUGUAUAUUCUUCCAGCAGUUUUAGAGCAUCAGAUCUUCCUUUAAUGACUUUGACACAUAUUGAAUUUAUUUCUGGGAUCUCUAUUCUUUCCAUUGUCUAUUUUACCUUUUUCAUUUUUUUUUUAAGUUUCAUGCUGCUUUGCUUACUAACACUCUGUAGUGUGUCUAGAUAUUAGGAAUUAGGAUGCCUCUAGCUUUGUUCCUUUUGUUCAAGAGGUUAUUAGCUAUUUAGGGUCUUCUAUGCAUUUAUUCAAAUUUUAAGGCUGUUAUUUCCAGUUGUGUAAAAAAAUCCACUGGGAUUUUCAUGGGGAUUGUACUGAAUCCUUAAAUUUCUUUGAGUUUCAUAGUCCUUUUAAUAGUACAAAUUAUUCCAAUACAUGAAUAUUAGAGAUAUUUCUAUUUUUCUCUCUCUCCUUCUUUGUGCAUUUUCUUCAAUUUCCUUCAUCAGUGUUUUGUGAAAACAUAAAGAUGUCUCACUUCCUUGGUUAGAUUUAUUCCUCAAUAGUUUAUCAUUUUAUUGUAGGUUUUAUGAAUGGGAUUUAUUUCAUGUUUUCUUCCUCAGAAGUCAUAUUGACAAGGACACAUUGAACAGCAACAGAAGUGGUUCCAUCUGGGAGUGACUGGAGGACAGAGGAUACACUAUUUCUCAAGUUCUUCCCCUUCAGUUCUCUGAGAUUGGAUCUUCCUCGGUUCUGCUGAGAAUGUUUCACCUGUGUAGUAAUGGAGGAAGGCAAAGCCUUAUCUACUUCCAUGUUUAUAGCAGCAAAAUUCACAAUAGCCAAGAUAUGGAAACAACUUAGAUGCCUGUCAAUCGAUGACUGGAUAAAGAACAUUUUAUAUCUAUAUACAAUGGAGUAUUUUUCAGCCGUAAAGAAGAAUAAAAUUAUGGCUUUCACUGGUAAAUGGGUGUAACUGGAGACCCUCUGCUAAGUGAAAUAAGCCACACUCAUGAACACAAAGUUCAAAUGUUUUUUAUGAUAUGCAGAAGCUAGACCAAAAUAAGGGGGGAGGAAAUGAAAAUUUCAUUUCUUGAAAUGAAAUUUCAUGAAAAUGGAAAAGAGAGCAGUGGAAUGGAGGAAGGUGAUUGAGGAGAAGGGAGGAGGGAGGGGAAAACAAAAAAUGGUGGAAUGCAUCUGACCAAUCUUACCUAUGUACAUGUAUGAAUAUACUACACUGAAUCUUACCUUCAUGUAUAUGCACAAAGCAAUAAUUUUUAAAAAUGCAAAUAAUAAGAAGAAAGAUCAAUAUAGUAGAGAGAAGGGAACAGAGGCAGGAGGAGGAAAGGAAAGGAGAAGUAGUAGAGAAUGAGUUAGAACAAAUUGUAUUCAAUACUUGUAUAAACAUCAAAAGAAGCUUUAUAUUAUGUAUAACUAAUAAAACAAGCAUCUGUACUCCAAAAAAUGAAAUUUUAUUCAACAUCAAUAAAGA